AACGCUGGCGGCGUGCCUAACACAUGCAAGUCGAGCGGGGACAUACGACGGAUAGGAAGUUUCGGAUGGAAUUGAAGAUGUAUUGUUCUAGCGGCGGACGGGUGAGUAACGCGUGAGCAACCUGUCCCUUACAGGGGGAUAACACAGCGAAAGUUGUACUAAUACCGCAUAAGACCACGGGGAGACAUCUUCCAGGGGUCAAAGGAGCAAUCCGGUAAGGGGUGGGCUCGCGUCCGAUUAGAUAGUUGGUGAGGUAACGGCCCACCAAGUCGACGAUCGGUAGCCGACCUGAGAGGGUGAUCGGCCACAUUGGGACUGAGACACGGCCCAAACUCCUACGGGAGGCAGCAGUGGGGAAUAUUGGGCAAUGGGGGAAACCCUGACCCAGCAACGCCGCGUGAGGGAAGAAGGUUUUCGGAUCGUAAACCUCUGUCCUUGGUGAAGAGUGAGAGACGGUAGCCAAGGAGGAAGCCCCGGCUAACUACGUGCCAGCCGCUGC
rnacentral:rRNA from 1 species